rnacentral:rRNA from 1 species
AGCGAACGCUGGCGGCAGGCUUAACACAUGCAAGUCGAACGGUCCUUCGGGAUAGUGGCGGACGGGUGAGUAACACGUGGGAACGUACCUUAGGUUCGGAACAACACAGGGAAACUUGUGCUAAUACCGGAUAAGCCCUUCGGGGGAAAGAUUUAUCGCCUUUGGAGCGGCCCGCGUCUGAUUAGCUUGUUGGUGAGGUAAUGGCUCACCAAGGCUACGAUCAGUAGCUGGUCUGAGAGGUUGGCCAGCCACACUGGGACUGAGACACGGCCCAGACUCCUACGGGAGGCAGCAGUGGGGAAUCUUGCGCAAUGGGCGAAAGCCUGACGCAGCCAUGCCGCGUGGAUGAUGAAGGUCUUAGGAUUGUAAAAUCCUUUCACCGGGGACGAUAAUGACGGUACCCGGAGAAGAAGCCCCGGCUAACUUCGUGCCAGCCGCCGCAGUAA